rnacentral:rRNA from 1 species
AGCGGCGAACGGGUGAGUAACACGUAGGUGAUCUGCCCAUCAGACGGGGACAACGAUUGGAAACGAUCGCUAAUACCGGAUAGGACGAAAGUUUAAAGGUGCUUCUGGCACCGCUGAUGGAUGAGCCUGCGGCGCAUUAGCUAGUUGGUAGGGUAAAGGCCUACCAAGGCGACGAUGCGUAGCCGACCUGAGAGGGUGAACGGCCACACUGGGACUGAGACACGGCCCAGACUCCUACGGGAGGCAGCAGUAGGGAAUCUUCGGCAAUGGGCGAAAGCCUGACCGAGCAACGCCGCGUGAAUGAUGAAGGCCUUCGGGUUGUAAAAUUCUGUUAUAAGGGAAGAACGACUUUAGUAGGAAAUGGCUAGAGUGUGACGGUACCUUAUGAGAAAGCCACGGCUAACUACGUGCCAGCAGCCGCGGUAAUACGUAGGUGGCGAGCGUUAUCCGGAAUUAUUGGGCGUAAAGAGCGCGCAGGUGGUUGAUUAAGUCUGAUGUGAAAGCCCACGGCUUAACCGUGGAGGGUCGUUGGAAACUGGUCGACUUGAGUGCAGAAGAGGGAAGUGGAAUUCCAUGUGUAGCGGUGAAAUGCGUAGAGAUAUGGAGGAACACCAGUGGCGAAGGCGGCUUCCUGGUCUGUAACUGACACUGAGGCGCGAAAGCGUGGGGAGCAAACAGGAUUAGAUACCCUGGUAGUCCACGCCGUAAACGAUGAGUGCUAAGUGU